rnacentral:misc_RNA from 1 species
GUGAAUCAUCGAAUUUUUGAACGCAAAUUGCACUCUCCUCGGAGAGUAUGCCUGUUUGAGGGUGAGGCUAUAAAAAAUUGACAUCGUUGCUGUUUCGUGGUGGCGGUCGUCGGAAAUUGGGUCAUCUUAAAUUUUUUGGUUUUUAGCGACUUAAAAUUUUUUUUUUGGUUCUUUGAACGUUUCUAAGUUUUUUUUCUUUACUUGUUUAAGGUAUCGAUUUUUAUUAGUCGUGACCAUCAUAUUGGCUUUUGUUCAUACUUU